rnacentral:misc_RNA from 1 species
ACGUAUCCAACGUUAAAAACCCCGUGAACCUUCAUCGCCGCUCCUCAUGGCUAAGUCUUGGGUAAAGCCAAACAGCAAUCCCUGCAUUCGUCGAGAAAUUUGAAAGAGGAGGGACCUCUGUUUGACAGAGCACUGUGGGUUUAAUUAAGGUGGCUUGUUUUUCCCCAAGCAAUCAGGAAUGUCAGUGUUUCUGAUUGUCUAAGGAUUUCGCUUGACGAUCACUGGAGGUCGAUUACCGACCGGUGGAACAAGUCACAGGGCUUCGGCUCCCUCCCAACCCCACUUUCUAUUGCCGCUCCUCGCUACAACUGUUAACAAUGGAGAUCUUGGUUCU